UGCCAGCCGCCGCGGUAAUACAGAGGGUGCAAGCGUUAAUCGGAAUUACUGGGCGUAAAGGGCGCGUAGGUGGUUAUUUAAGUUGGCUGUGAAAGCCCCGGGCUCAACCUGGGAUGGUCAGCCAAAGCUAGAUAGCUAGAGUACGGUAGAGGGUAGUGGAAUUUCCGGUGUAGCGGUGAAAUGCGUAGAGAUCGGAAGGAACACCAGUGGCGAAGGCGGCUACCUGGACUGAUACUGACACUGAGGCGCGAAAGCGUGGGGAGCGAACAGGAUUAGAUA
rnacentral:rRNA from 1 species